rnacentral:rRNA from 1 species
GUGGGGAAUAUUGGACAAUGGGCGAAAGCCUGAUCCAGCCAUGCCGCGUGUGUGAAGAAGGUCUUCGGAUUGUAAAGCACUUUAAGUUGGGAGGAAGGGCAGUAAGUUAAUACCUUGCUGUUUUGACGUUACCGACAGAAUAAGCACCGGCUAACUUCGUGCCAGCAGCCGCGGUAAUACGAAGGGUGCAAGCGUUAAUCGGAAUUACUGGGCGUAAAGCGCGCGUAGGUGGUUUUGUAAGUUGGGGGUGAAAUCCCCGGGCUCAACCUGGGAACUGCCUCCAAAACUGCAUGACUAGAGUACGGUAGAGGGUAGUGGAAUUUCCUGUGUAGCGGUGAAAUGCGUAGAUAUAGGAAGGAACACCAGUGGCGAAGGCGACUACCUGGACUGAUACUGACACUGAGGUGCGAAAGCGUGGGGAGCAAACAGGAUUAGAUACCCGUGUAGUCC